UUCAUUCAACUAGAGAAUGAAUAUUGACUAACCCUUUUAUUGUCGAAGAUGAAUCGGGGCUUCUAUUAGACUUAUCAGACCCCACAUAUUUAAGAUAUCCACCAUCCAUUAAUUAAUUAAAACUUCUGACAACUUUUAUUAAUUAACUUCUUAUUAAUAAUUAAGUAGUAACACUCCACCUUAUUAUUGCACCCGAACUUAAUAAAUCUGCAAGGUUUAGCACAAUAAACCUUUCGAGCUCCUUAAGGGGAAGUUAUCAUCCUAUAUCGGGUAUUGUUAUCUAAUACAGAUCACCAAAUGUCAUAUAUAUAUUGCUAUCAGCUAAGAUACAUAUAAGUUGGAACUUCCUUAUAAUCAAGGACAUCCUCAAUUGCUACUAACCAAGCAAGGUAAACAUGUGGAUCCAUGCCACCAUGAAAUUCAGGGAGAUCAAUCUUGCUACUGUAAUCCCAUCUGUGACUAUCUUCAGGGCGACGAUUGUGACGGCCCAUUAGGGGGGCGAAGGGAUUAUCAAUCGUGUCUUCAUCAUCAGACGAAUCGACAAAAUCGUGGUGUUGAUGGGCACCUUCCCCAUCGUUUCGUGCCGAAGGGUUUGGAUUCUGCAUAUGGCAAUCAUUGCCCCUGGUUUGUGUGGAUAACUGGUGGAAAAGUUGACCCUGUUGAGUGAGCAUUUGUAUAAACUAAUCCAUCCGUUGUUCCAAUCGCUAGAUCUCAGGCUCGAGCGGUGGUCGACGAGGCGGCAUGGCAAGGAUCAGAUAUCGACAACGUGAUACCAACUGAUGCAGCGAGCGUGACACUCAAAUGAAGAACAAUAAGAACACUCAAAUCGUUGAUAUCACCUGUUGGGAACCUUGUGGAAUAUCCUAACCCUUGUUUUGAUGAUACCAAAAAUCAUAGGACUUAAUUGUAAUAGACUAGAAUUGUUUUGAACUCAAGUGUUAGAGUUCGUUUCUAGUUUAGUUUGCGGUGUCGAAGACUGAAGACUGAAGACUGCAGAUACCAACUGAAGUGUCAGUUGAAGAAUCAGUUGAAGACUGAUUACUUAACGCGCGCAAAGGACUGAUACUAAAGUCAAGUAUCAGUUGAACAUUCCUCCUAGGACUGAUCUUCCAACGUUCAGAGGAAGCCACGUACUCACAAAGUACAGCCGCAUUAAAUACAGAGAUAUCAGGAUCUUAUCUCUGCAGAGGUCAUUCCUAUCUAGUGGUUACUUUUCAGAGACGUCACAUCUCAUGUCCAUCAAAGAGAGCUGUUUCCACCCAGACAAGGAACCUCGAAGAUUGAAGCCUCAGCCCAAAUUCGAAUUGCUCUCCAACGGAAGAAAUCUUGAGGACGAUUUACGCCAACGGAUCUAUUCAAGAGUUCUCCUACAAAUAGCGCCCGAGGAUCACUUCAACCUUCCACUCAGAUGGCGUCAAGACUCGGAGAUCAAUGUGCAACCUCGUCUUCGACAUCAACCAGAACUGCAUCAACGAAGAUAAGAUUUUCAGCUGUUUCUUAUCAUCUACAGAGCCCAAGGAUAUUGAAGAAGCUCUGAAGUCUACUCAUUGGGUCAUCGCAAUGCUAGAAGAACUAAAUGAAUUCAACCGAAAUUCAGUUUAGGAGCUAUUGGAUCGACCAGACGAUGCAAAGGUGAUUGGCUUGAAAUAGAUUUUCAAGAACAAGGAAGACGAAGAAGGAAACGUUGUGAGAAACAAAGCAAGGCUUGUAGCUAAAGGAUACAGUCAAGAAGAAGGAAUCGACUACGAUGAGACGUUCGCUCCAGUUGUCAGAUUGGAAGCAGUCAAACUCUUCUUAGCCUUCGCAGCUCACAAAGGUUUCAAGGUACACCAAAUGGAUGUCAAGUGUGCCUUUCUCAAUGGAGUGCUCACAGAUGAAGUCUAUGUAGAACAACCUCCUGGGUUUGAGGUUGCUGGACCAGAAAAGGUGUACAAGCUGAAGAAAGCGCUCUAUGGAUUGAAGCAAGCACCAAGAGCAUGGUAUGAUACUCUCUCAUAGUAUCUUGUUGAACAAGGUUUCAAGAAAGGAUUUGUGGACAGAACUCUGUUCACUCUCAAAGAAGGAGAAGAUCUCUUGCUUGUUCAGAUUUAUGUCGAUGACAUAAUUUUUGGAUCCAAAUCCGAACACAUGUGCAAGAAGUUUGCUGACAUCAUGACCAACAAGUUUCAAAUGUCCAUGAUGGGAGAAAUAAAUUUCUUUCUCGGAUUGCAAGUCAAGCAGACCAACGAAGGAAUACUGAUCAGUCAGUCCAAGUAUGCCAAGGAACUGAUAGUCAAGUUCGGUAUUCAGCACAUGAAGUCAGUCAAGAUCCCAAUGAACACAAACUGGAAAGUUGAUCCAGGUUCAGAAGGAAAAUCUGUCUCUUCGACGAAGUACAGAGAAAUCAUUGGAUCUUUGCUGUAUUUGACUGCGAGCAGACCAGACAUCGCAUUUGCAGUUGGGGUAUGUGCAAGAUAUCAAUCAGAUCCAAAGGAAGUUCAUUUGGAUGCAGCAAAGCGGAUUCUAAGAUAUCUUAAAGGCACACCCAAUUUAGGAUUGUGGUAUCCAGCAGACGACGACAUCAAGCUCACCGGAUAUUCAGACUCUGACUUCGGUGGAUGCAAGCUUGAUCGCAAAUCAACCUCCAGAACAUGUCAAUUCCUAGGCAACAAGCUCAUUUCAUGGUUUUCAAAGAAGCAGACUUCAGUCGCCACCUCUACAACUGAAGCUGAAUAUGUUGCUGCCGAAAGCUGCUGCUCACAAAUCCUGUGGUUAGUCCAUCAAUUAAAGGACUAUGGGAUCGACGAAAAGGAAGUUCCUAUCUAUUGCGACAGCUCCAGUGCUAUUGCAAUCUCCCAGAAUCCAGUUCAUCACACCAGAGUUAAACAUAUUGCUAUUCGACAUCACUUUAUCCGUGAUCAUGUCGAAAAGAAGAAUAUCUCUGUGGAAUGGAUUCCCACUGCUGUUCAGAGAGCGGACCUGCUGACCAAGGCUCUUCCAGAAGAGAUGUUCAUUGAUCUAUGUGGAAAGAUCGGCCUCAUCAACCCUGAAUAGUGAUGCUGUGUUUGAAGACUUACUCAAACAGUCAUGUUGACUGGUGGUCACCAACUGCUGAUUCUACGACGUGGAAAGCAAUGAAGUCUGAACGCUCAUCUGAAGAAGAAGACAUCCUGAUGAAUCAACCAGGAUCAAGUGAUAUCAACUGACUACAACAUUCAGUUGAUCAGUAAGUAUUUUAAAAGCUUACUUUUAAAAUCAGUUAUUUCAGUUUAGAGUUUUGUGUUUUUAGUUCAAAAACUUUUCUCUAACUGAUCAAUUUCUUUCAAAAACUUUAACUGAUUGUUGGAAAAUGGAAUAUCCGAGAAGGACAAAAGUCUUUAAAAAGGAAAAUCUGUUUUGAUGGAACUUGUCCUGAUCUUUUACCAAAAAUCUUUCCAACCUUUUGCCUCUGCAAUAAAAUUUCUUGAGAAGCUCAUUGACAUGACAGAAUGCAAUGAUGCCUUUCAACUUUUUGAAGACACAGUCCCUCGCAGUGACAGCGGACGCGAAUUUUUCUUCAAAUGCAUUUUAGGCACAGUUUUCGAAAAACUUUUCAUCUUCUCACAUGGUUCACAUCUUGUCUAUUUAUACCAUGUUGUCUUCUCAAUUUUUCUGCAUCAACUAACAACUAUCCACAGCCUUCACUGUGAGAAAAAUUUUCAAUAUUUCCAAAGUUGCAAAGAAAAAAUGUUCCGACGAAAGGAGAAAUCUAUGACUGCAAAGNNNNNNNNNNNNNNNNNNNNNNNNNNNNNNNNNNNNNNNNNNNNNNNNNNNNNNNNNNNNNNNNNNNNNNNNNNNNNNNNNNNNNNNNNNNNNNNNNNNNNNNNNNNNNNNNNNNNNNNNNNNNNNNNNNNNNNNNNNNNNNNNNNNNNNNNNNNNNNNNNNNNNNNNNNNNNNNNNNNNNNNNNNNNNNNNNNNNNNNNNNNNNNNNNNNNNNNNNNNNNNNNNNNNNNNNNNNNNNNNNNNNNNNNNNNNNNNNNNNNNNNNNNNNNNNNNNNNNNNNNNNNNNNNNNNNNNNNNNNNNNNNNNNNNNNNNNNNNNNNNNNNNNNNNNNNNNNNNNNNNNNNNNNNNNNNNNNNNNNNNNNNNNNNNNNNNNNNNNNNNNNNNNNNNNNNNNNNNNNNNNNNNNNNNNNNNNNNNNNNNNNNNNNNNNNNNNNNNNNNNNNNNNNNNNNNNNNNNNNNNNNNNNNNNNNNNNNNNNNNNNNNNNNNNNNNNNNNNNNNNNNNGUUGCCAAAAGGGGAAAGAAGCACAAUCUUAUGUAACUUAAGUCGGUUAAGCACAUGAUCAUCCUAUUCUAUCCGAUGAUCAUGAGGAAGAUUAGCCAAGAGGAUAAGACCUCAAAUCAACGGAACACAAGUGAGAGUGGAACAAACUUAGGAACAUGAAGACACGAAGACAGAAGAUGAAGAUCAAGAAGUUCAAGGCGCAGCCAAGCAGACUGCUGGAGUCCAUGGGUUUCCCAUGUUGUUUUGUUUUUAUUUUUACUCCAAUGUAAGUCUUGCUCUGUACCUAGACUGAUGGCUUAUCAGUCUUUUAUUAAUGAAAAGAACUUCUUUUUGAUCUCAACCUGAAGACAAUGACUCUUUGUCCAGGCUCUGAUUAUGUUUUUCUGUCUUCUCCUUGUUCUGUUUUUAGAACUGUUUCGUUCUUAACUCUAAGUACAAGUUUUUAGGUUCUAUUGUUAAGGGGGAACUGCUUUCACCCCAUGUUUAGAACUUGUACUGUGAGUUCAGUCUUUUUGCUGUCUAGAACUGCUGUGUGGUUUUGGCAUCAUCAAAAAGGGGGAAAUUGUUGGGAACCUUGUGGAAUAUUCUAACCCUUGUUUUGAUGAUACCAAAAUUCAUAGGACUUAAUUGUAAUAGACUAGAAUUGUUUUGAACUCAAGUGUUAGAGUUCGUUUCUAGUUUAGCUUGCGGUGUCGAAGACUGAAGACUGAAGAACGAAGGACUGAAGACUGAAGACUGCAGAUACCAACUGAAGUAUCAAUUGAAGACUGAUUACCUAAUGCGCGCAAAGGACUGAUACUAAAGUCAAGUAUCAGUUGAACAUUCCUCCUAGAACUGAUCUUCCAACGUUCAGAGGAAGCCACGUACUCACAAAGUACAGCCGCAUUAAAUGCAGAGAUCUCAGGAUCUUAUCUCUGCAGAGGUCAUUCCUAUCUGGUUUUUACUUUUCAGAGACGUCACAUCUCCUGUCCAUCAAAGAGAGUCGUUUCCACUCAGACAAGGAACCUCGAAGAUUGAAGCCUCAGCCCAAAUUCGAAUUGCUCUCCAACGGAAGAAAUCUUGAGGACGAUUUACGCCAACGGAUCUAUUCAAGAGUUCUCCUACAAAUAGCGCUCGAGGAUCACUUCAACCUUCAUCGAUUCAACGACAUAAGCUGAAGCUCUACCGAAAUUGCUACUCAGCCUUAAGCUUAAACUCCCCAAAGCUUGAAUCGAAGAAGAGAAUUCCAAAGCCAAAAUCAGUCACUGCUGAUUAUAUACAUUCUCUUAGAGCUUAGGCAUAACUCUGUUCACCCAGAAACCAAAGGUCAAACUUGCUUCAAAGAACUUGUUCUUUGUAAGUAUAGUUGGCACUCGUUCAAACCUCCCCCCAUAAGAGUGUUUUGAGUGAUUCGGAGGUCAGAAGGGUUUUCUGACUCUGAGAGUCUUAGCACGGGUUGUGUUAAGCAAGGGAAAUCCGACGCGAGUGAAGCGUGGGUACUGAAGAAGGGUUUUCUUCAGUGUACGGUUGUGUGCACCCGGCAAGCACACGGUUUGGUUUGCAGUGCACCGGUUAAGCACUUGCAGAGUGGAUUGUUGGUCUGAUCAACCAACAGUGGUUGUAGGAAAGGGUUUUUCCGAACCACGUAAAAGUCUCUGUGUUGUUUACAGCUUUCAGUUUUACAUUCUUACUUGUGUUAUUUCAAUUGAUAAACUGAACAUGACUAACUGCAAAGAGAAACCAUAACCAACAACUUGCUCCACCGAGGCUAUUUUGAAACUAAGUUUAAUUUCCGUUGCGUAUGAUAUCAGUCUGACUGAUCUAUCUUCUGAUAGUCAGGAAGAGUGUUAUCAUCUCUGUUUUAGCAAACUCAACUGAAGCCCUUACUUGCAUCAAUUAAGUUCCAGCAACUUAACUGAUAACUCUUUACUGAAGAGCCUUCAGUAUCAGUCGUCAACCCUGUUUGGUCAAAACUGAUUUCAGUAAAACAGGCGUCUCUGUUUGCAUGCAAAGUUUCGUUUUGAUCUCUGACUGAGAUCCCUCUGAUUGAGGAUUGAUUGAAAAAUAGCCCAUAGGUGUAUUCCCCCCCAUACACCUAUUCGAGACCCUCAGGACCUAACAGUCUGUAAGGCCCUCACGAGCGCGUAGAGCUCCUUGUCGUAUGUAGGGUAGUUCAACGUCGCUCCACUCAACUUCUCGCUGAAAUAUGAGAUGGGACGCUUCUCUUGCAUCAACACUGCACCAAUUCUGAGACCAGAAGCAUCACAUUCUAUUUCAAAACUUUUUGAAAAGUUAGGGAGAGAUAAUAUCGGGGCGUGAGUGAGCUUGUACUUCAGUUGCGCGAAGGCCUCCUCUUUCGCCUUGCCUCACUCGAACUCCACAUUUUUCUUGAUCACCUCGGUGAGCGGCGCUGCCACGCUACUAAAGUGAGGUACGAACCGCCUAUAGAAGCUAGCAAGGCCGUGGAAGCUUCGUACCUCGCCGAUGCUCGUGGGUGUCGGCCACUCCUGAAUAGCGCGGAUCUUCUCUUCAUCAACCUGGACACCCUGCGUGCUAACAACAAAACCAAGAAACACAACCCUAUCCGUACAGAACGUGCACUUCUUAAGAUUAGCAAAUAGCUUCUCUUUGCGAAGUACGUCCAUAACAGACCGUAAGUGCUCGACAUGGUCGUCAUAAUGCUUGCUAUAAAUGAGGAUAUCAUCAAAAUAGACUAUGACAAAUCGACCAAUGAAAGCACGUAAAACAUGAUUCAUGAGACGCAUAAACGUACUCGGAGCAUUAGUCAAGCCAAAAGGCAUAACUAACCACUCGUACAAACCCAGUUUUGUUUUAAACGCAGUCUUCCAUUCAUCACCUUCCUUAAUUCGUAUUUGGUGAUACCCACUAUGCAAAUCAAUUUUGGAAAAGACACAAGCACCAUGCAGCUCAUCAAGCAUAUCAUCUAAGCGAGGGAUGGGAUGGCGAUACUUUACCGUGAUGUUAUUAAUGGCUCGGCAAUCGCAGCACAUCCUCAUGGUUGAGUCCUUCUUAGGUACGAGAAGAACAUGUACCGCACAAGGGCUCAAGCUCUCCCUCACGUGUCCCUUAGCUAGCAGCUCACCGAUUUGCCUUUCCAACUCCUUUGUCUCCUCCGGAUUGGUACGGUAGGCUGGUCGGUUUGGUAGCGCAGCUCCAGGCACGAAGUUAAUUUGAUGUUCAAUCCCGCGAAGUGGUGGUAAACCAUACGGUAUCUCAUCGGGGAAGACAUCAGCGAAGUCCUGCAAAACCGAUUGAAUAGGAGGGGGAAGGGAAGAGAGGUCGUUAGCAGUAAAUAAAGUCUCUCGGAACCGCAACAACACCAUCGGUCUUUUCUCCUUCAUGCACAACUUGAUAUCACACGGUCUAGCAAGGAAUGAUUUGUGCAUCACUCCCAUCGUCUUUGCCUCCACCGGUUGCUCCUUGUUUGUGACUGUGGCUGCCUCCUUGAGUAGUUUCACCUGAUCCUCGUACACUUGUGUGGGACUGAGAGGAACAAGGGACAUGCACUUGUGCUGAAACUCGAAGGAGUACUUAUUUGUAAAGCCGUCGUGGGUCACACGCCGAUCAAACUGCCAAGGGCGACCCAACAGAAUAUGGCACGCCUGCAUUGGGAUAACAUCGCACAAAAUUUCGUCUUCAUACCUGCCAAGGCGAAUAGGCACGCGAACUUGCCGUGUAACUCUGACAUUGCCGACGUUACUCAACCAUUGUAAGCGAUAUGGUUUUGGAUGUUUCACUGCGGUCAACCCUAAUUUCUCCUCCAUGUGCUUACUCGCCACGUUCAUCGUCUAUAAUGACGCUGCAGAGCUUGUCACGAAUCAAACACCGCGUGUGAAAAAGGUUCUCCCGCUGCUCCAGCUCGUCUGUCUGCAGUUGCAUGGUCAAAGCUCACCGGGCUACUAAGAAGUGUCCCGUGGGUGCAUCCAGCUCCUCCUCAUCGGGCUCUUCCAAUUCAGGCAUAUCUGGGUCUGUCUCUUUCCCAUCGAUGAUGACUUCACCAUCUUCUCGGAGGAUCAUGAUGCGCCUAUUCGGACACUCGCUCAUGAUGUGGCCGAAUCCUUGACAACGGAAACAUUUCUUGUCACGGUAUCUGCCCUCGGACGCUGUGGCAGCGCUGGAAAUAGGGGCCUUCGAACCUCCGCCAUUCUGACUCUGUUUAGGAUGUGUAGCAGAGCUGAAAGAGCUCUGGCCUUGGUUCUGACUGUCGCCAGAGCUGAAAGAGCUCUGUCGCUGAUUCUGCUCUGUUCUGCCGCCCGCGCUGGAAGCACUCUGGUGUUGUCGCUGUGCAAUGCCAGAGCUGAAAUUGUUACGCUGGUUGCUGCCAGCGCUGACAUUGCUGCGCUGACCUCCGCUCCUCUGCUGACUGCCAGUGCUGAAAGGGCUGCGCUGACUGCCUCCAUAGCUACCUCUCCGCUGGAGUUGAUUCUCAACCUUAAUCGCCAUGUGGACCAUGUCUUCCAGCUCAACAUAGUGUUGUAAUUCCACUUUAUCUCGAAUAUCCCACUGCAAUCCAGCCAAGAAUCGAGCCAUGGUUGCCUCCCUUUCUUCCACAACAUUAGCACGUAUCAUAGCCAUCUCCAUCUCUUUGAAAUACGCGUCGACACUCCUACUCCCCUGCUUCAUCGUUUGCAGCCUGUUGAAGAGCUCCCGGUAGUAAUGGUUUGGUACAAACCGCUUCCUCAUCACUACUUUCAUCUCGGUCCAGCUCUGGAUAGGCGGCUCGCCAUUCCGUCUCCGACUAGUCACCGUUUGGUCCCACCAAACGAGUGCGUACUCUGAGAAUUCAAUUGCUGCCAGUUUCACCUUUUUGAGCUCUGAAUAUUUGUGACAAUCGAACAAGAGCUCCACCUUCUUCUCCCAUUCAAGGUACAGCUCGGGAUCAUUAUUCCCUUGGAACAAGGGAAUAUUCAUCUUAAUGUUGUUGAGGUUAUCAUCUUGAUAGCUCGAACCGUUCUCUCGAUGCCAACGCCCUUCUCCAUCUUCCUCAUACUCGGACUCCUCAUCCUGCUCUUCACGACGGUGCACAUUGCGAACGGGCAUGCGCCAACCUCCAGGNUCUCCAUCUCUUUGAAAUACUCGUCGACACUCCUACUCCCUUGCUUUGGACUAUAAUAGGAUUAUGCAAUAACAAUAUUUCAGAUAGAAGAAUCACAGUGAACAAAGGAAUCAAUGUAUACAAGCAUGAAGUCUUGCUUUCAGUAUACAACCCUUCAAUUAGCACGUAUCAUUGCCAUCUCCAUCUCUUUGAAAUACUCGUCGACACUCAUACUCCCUUGCUUCAACGUUUGCAGCCUGUUGAAGAGUUCCCGGUAGUAAUGGUUUGGUACAAAUCGCUUCCUCAUCACUGCUUUCAUCUCGGUCCAGGUCUGGAUAGGCUGCUCGCCAUUCCGUCUCCGACUAGUCACCGUUUGGUCCCACCAAACGAGCGCGUACUCGGAGAAUUCAAUUGCUGCUAGUUUCACCUUUUUGAGCUCUGAAUAUGUGUGACAAUCAAACAAGAGCUCCACCUUUUUCUCCCAUUCAAGGUACAGCUCUGGAUAGUUCUUCCCUUGGAACGAGGGAAUAUUCAUCUUAAUGUUGUUGAGGUUAUCAUCUUGAUAGUUCGGACCGUUCACUCGACGCCAACGCCCUUCUCCAUCUUCCUCAUACUCGGACUCCUCAUCCUGCUCUGCACGACGGUGCACAUUGCGAACGGGCAUGCGCCAACCUCCAGGACCACGGCCACCACCUCGGCCUUUACGACCCCCAAAAUCACCUCGAGCCGAAGUGGCAUGGUAUUGUUCAAACAAAUCCAUCCGCUGAUCCAUGACUCUUUCCCCUCUCUGCAUGCUUCGAGUUUGGACUCGAGUUUGGAGUCUAGUGUGGACUCGAGCUUGGACUCCAGGAGCUUCUCCAUCACCGAUUGGAAAGCCUCCAUUGUAAAGUCCAUUGUUGAAGGUAUGGCAGAUGCCUCUCCCCAUGCAAACCCUGUUCAACUUUUUUUGACAUUAUUAUUGAAACAAAGAAAAGGUUAGUAGCAAUAAAAUAAAAGAAACCUCACCACCUCACAACACUCGUGUAUGUCACUCAAAGAGGAGUCGCUCAACACUCGUGUAUCACACAAAGAACGGCUUUUUCCCUCUUUUGAUCUCACCACUCUUGCCUUUUUCCGCUCUAUUUCUCGUCUCAAGAAAAUCGAACUCCCUCGAUCUACCACGUGAAGUCAACGUACCAACUGCACAACGAGAUCAACAAGCGCACUCGAUGCGAGCACUCGAUGACACGCCUCUCGAAGAACCACAGCAAACACACAAAAUUGAUAGGACUCGACAAAAAAAAGACUCAUAAACGCGGACUGGAACCCAAAGUCAGUGCUGCGCAGAAAACAAAACAAACACCUCAACUAGCUAUGCUACCCAAAGAAGCAAAGAGAACGCGAAAAACCCAAGAAACAAUAGGUUUCAAGAUUUGCAAAGUUUGAUGCUUUCUAUGCUUUUUUGUUCCGUUUUUUUUUUUUAACUGAUGGAAUAUGUAUUUCCGAAAAAACUAACAAUGGUAAAAUAUAUGGAGUUAUGUAGUAUGAAGUAUGGAAGAUGGUAUAGGCGAUAGAGAUGAAAGAUGUAAAUUGGAAUAUGGAACGUAAAAGACGAUGGAUAACAAACCCUAAAAUUUGUAGCCCUUACGAAACCUGGAAAAAACUGAUACCAGAUGAUGUGAACCUCGCCGGUGCAGGGCUGAAACUCAGCCGAGCAGGGCUGAACUUGGCCGGGCAGAGCUGACAACUGGCUGGACUGAUCGAGCUCCGCCGGAUACAAUUUCAGAGAACAGCUACGCGGAUGGUUUAGUAACAAGAAUUAAAAAUAAGAUAGAAGUGUGGAUAUCCCAAAACCCCUGACCUAAUCUACGAAGUUUCCUAGAGAACGGAUCUCUAGACCCCAACGAUGUGAUCGGUGCAGCAACUCGGAGACGUUGAAUGACACACGGCGAGGGAUGAUGAACUCGUCGAUUCGUCGAUAGGUUGAAUUCUUGUUUGGAAUAAUCAAGAAGAAUUCGAAACUUGAGAGAGAAUAAUCACUGUAAUAUUAUCAAAAAUCAACUAACUUUCGUUCAUCACAUAGUGUUCUAUUUAUAGGUAACAGGAAACCCUAACGUAAAGAAGGAAAUAACUUAAACAAAAGGAAACUAAAAACAAGAAAACAAAUAAACUUGUUCAACACGCUUGAACUAAACUAGCGAGAAAAACAACACUAAAAAGCGUCAGGGCUGGACUCGCCAGCUCUGGAAAGUGUCCAGCUCCAGCUCUGAAAAGUCCAUCGCUGGGCUAAAUCCAGCUCUGGAUAUUUGUCAGUGCUGGCGCUUAGGUCUGCCCUGGACUAACGCCAGGUCUGGAGCUCAUCCCUGCCCUGUUCUUCUGUCAGCUCAGGAAUCGAACUCUGCUCUGGAAGUGUUUCCAGCUCUGCUCUGCACGCUAUAAGAUUCACCACCCUCGAGCUCUGUGACGAAGCUGUCAUUUGAGCUUUGUGCAAAUAAAUAAUCCUGUUCCCACAACUAGACUAGCUAGUGGUAAGUCCAAAGUCGAAUCCACAGGGAACUGAGCAAUAACUCCUUCUGCAAGGGUGUCACUAAAAAGGGUUUGUAUUCUGUAGUGUUCUGCCCACAACGAGCUUAUGGGCAGAACGGGUAUCCAACUUAAACUGAAAUAACAAAGGUAAAUAAAUCAAAUAACAAAAUAAUUCUGACUUGGGUUCGAAUCACUAAACAUGAAUUAACACUCGAUCAUUGGUGCAAAGAUUAAUCACUAUAUUCACAUACCAGUGGUUAUAGGCAUAAGAAUUGUUGUGCCCCUAUUGUCACUCGUCACGCACACAACAAAACCCUGCCCAAUCUAUCCUUUCAGUUUAUGAUUCCUUAGAAGGGUCAGCUAAUGGAAAUCAACUACCCCGGGCAACAUCCACGCUCUCUGCGAUGGCCUAUCGCUAGUUGUGCUUUGCCCAGAAUGCUUUAAGAACUAGAUAGACCCACUUGACUCUUACGCCGAUAUUUCACAGCAGUCACGGCUCCAACACCAGUUGUACUAUUUUGGAGGUCGAUGGCAACUCGCCUUAUGCCCAAAUUAUUACUUGUGGCUAGAACUCCCUAGUUAACUAGUGAUCAAUUAAUUAACCAAGUUGUUACAACCUUAUGGGAAUCAAACCUAGUGUAUCGGGAAUAUGCUUAUACAGUUUUUAUGCCCAAAUUAGACCUCUCGAGUUUAGUGUUCAUGCUUAGAUCAUCUUGCCCAAAUCAGAAUAUAAAACUUAGCCAAUCAUAAAAUAAAUAACAAAGGCAAAAGACAUAAAGGAAAACAUAAAGUAAAAACUGAAAUUGAAACUUACUUAAGGCAGAAGGGUACUUACGGCCAAAAGUGCCGUAGAAAACAUGAACAGAAAAUUAAACUGCUAUGCCCAUAAGGGGCGACUACCCCUACCUAACUAUGGAAAGUAAAUCUGCAGCAGUGGUCUCUGAAUUGGUGCCUCCAAAAUCCGUCCUUCCCUUCUACCUAUCCUCUCUCCGAAUGGUUCACAGCUAUGUGGUAUUUAUAGGCAUGAGUUAAGGCUACACAGGCUGGGCCCAAAAUGAGUGGGCUGGAAUUAGGGCUCCUUCUGCCCGAGAUUGCAUCAUGAUCUGGAGGUUGAUUUGUUCUUAUCCAAACCUCAAGAGAUAAGGUUUUGGAUAUCUUUCCUUAUCUACAUCCUCUGCACUCUUCUUCUCUGCCCCGUCUGUACAUUCUGCCCAGCUGAUUCCGCUGCUCGGAUGACUCCUCUGGCAGCUUGACUUCUCUGCCCUGGCAGACUCCUCUGCCCUGGCACCUUAAUUCCUCUGACAGCUUGACUUCUCUGCGCUGGCAGCUCCUCUGCCCUGGCAGCUUGACUUCUCUGCCCUGGCCGACUCCUCUGCCCUGGCAGACUCCUCUGCCCUGUUUGUACCUUCUGCCCACGAUCUUCUUCUGGUGCAAUUGGAUCCCGCGUGGUACUUAUGGGCAAAAGGGUCGGUUUGCCCAACAUCCUGUUUCUCAGACUUUUGGUCUUCAAAACAAGCUUUUGAGUGUCCCAAACUCCUCUGCUUCAAACUCAUGCGUCUUUUGCGGAAUGCAGCAGCAUUAUGCCUUGAAAGCACCUUCUGCCCAAAGAACGGGCCUACCCUAGAACAACGCCCUCCCAGGCGACUGACUCUAGCAAAACAAAGGAAAAGAACUCUAUCUAGACCUAAAACUCACAAGAAAAACGAGCACAAACAUGGGCUCAUCACUCUGCUCUGGCGACAUUUCUCCAAUCGGUCUUCUCAGCUCUUGCUUCCAGACCUCUUCUACCAACGCCAAUAAGUUAGCCCUGAACGUCUUGUUUCUAGCUCUUGUCACCGGACCGACGGGCACAAAGAUCGGAUCGCUGUUCUGGGCUGCACUCGGAGCUCUGCUCGGUGUCAUAGCUGGAUUCAGAGCUCUGCUCGGUGUCAUAGCUGGAGCUCUGCUCUGGGUUUCAUCAUAGUUGCCUAAGUCGCGAGCUCCCAGAGCUGCCUUAGCUGCGAGCAUUAAGUUUUAGAGCUGCCUAAGUCGCAAGCUCUCAGAGCUGGCUUAGCCGCGAGCAUUAAGUUGUAGAGCUGCCUAAGUCGCGAGAGCUGCCGUAGCCGCGAGCAUUAAGUUGUAGAGUUGCCUAAGUCGCGAGCUCCCUGAGCUGCCUUAGCCGCAAGCAUUAAAAUUUAGAGCUGCUUAAGUCGAGAGCUCCCAGAGCUGCCUUAGCCGCAAGCAUUAAAAUUUAGAGCUGCUUAAGUCGCGAGCUCCCAGAGCUGCCUUAGCUGCGAGUAUCAAAAUUUUUACAAAUGCAUACGAAAUUCGUAAAGCCGAAUUAAGUUCGAGCAUUAAUAUAAGAAUUUCACAUUUGUGAGAUUGACUUAAGGGGCAUUGAUCUAAACUUACAAGUCAGAAUUGCAAUAUAAUAUGAAGAGUUUCACACGAGAUAAAGUUGGGGGAGGGGGGUAGGUGGUGGGUCAACGGCAAAAUUGAAAGUAUAGCAUAAAAUAAUUAAGUAAAUAAUAAGAGUAAUAUAGUUAUUUAACAAUUUAUCAAUUAUUUUUCAACAAAGAGAACAUGUGAGCAGGGGCGGAGCUAGGGGUGGGGCAGGGGGUCACUGGGCCCCCCUGGGAUUUUCAAAAAUAGUAGGGGUAUUUUCGUAAUUUUAUAUUAAAAAUAAAAAAUAUAUAAUUUUAUCUAUAUUAUUAUUAUGUUGAGCUAUUUUAAACUGUAAUUGGUAUGCAAUAUUUAGAGUUAAGACGUUUUGAAGAAGUGAACACAUAAUUAAUUUAUACAUAUCAUGAUUAGAUUGGAUUUUAGAGAUUUAUUUUUUUAAUUUGAUAUUGAAAGUUACUUUAUCUUACAAAGAUUGGAUUUUAGAGAUUUAUUUUUUUAAUUUGAUAUUGAAAGUUUUAUGAGAUUUUUGCAAAUAAAAUCACAAACUAUUUCAAAUUUGUAAUUUUAACAUGACUUUUGACUGUGGCGAAUUAUUUUUUCAAUUUUUUCAAUUACGUCCCCUAUUUUUUUUAGAUCGUCAGAGUGUUGAAUUGCAACUUACGUGGAUUAGUAAAGACGACGUCGUUUUUGUGAGGCCUAAACGACGUCUUUUGUACAAUUUCAAUUAAUUUUUUUUCCAAAUUAGAAUGAGACUGUAUCUUGUAUUUGCACCAUAAUUUUCAAUAUGUAGUAAUUUUAUUGAAAAAUACAUCGUAACAUGAAUAUUACAUGGAGAAAUAAUUCACACAAACUUUAAGUUAACAAUUCGACAAUCGAAAAAAUUGGGGGAUGAAAUUGCAAAAAUUAUAAAAGAUGAGUGAUUUACUUUGCCACACUUUCAAAGUUACGUUAAAAUUUUUUUGGACCCCCCUGAAUCAAAAGUCUGGCUCCGCCCCUGCAUGUGAGUAUAUGAUAAAAAAAAUUCUAUUAAAGAGAACAUGAGAUAACAAGAGUGGAAAUGAUAAAAUUUUUCCACCUUUCAUUUCCAUAAUUUUCUCAUGAUAAUUUUAUAAUUAAAGAGAACGCAGCCCAUAAGGCUUAUAUCACUCCAAUUGUAUAUAGAUAUAGAGUUCAAGAAAAUACUCUUAUCCAUAGCAGUAAAUUCUUCAGCAUGUACCUUUUUACCCGAAUUUAAGGUUUGUUUUAGGAAAUCUAGUAUCUUUUGAAAUUGAAGCAGUGAAACAUCGAGCAAAAAUAAAAAAUAAAGUAACCAUUGACUUUGUGUAAACUACAUUCGUUUUAUAUAUACUAGUGGCGAAGGCUUCAAUUGCGAUGAGCUCACACAAGUGCGCCUCGCCUCUCCCUAUUUUUAUGCACCUUUCGUUGUUGCCAACGAGUAGAAAUCUUCCUUUUGGGUAUCUGAAAUUAUCUUUUAAGUAUUAGAGCAUCUGCAAUGGGGUUACAUGAUAGCUUAUUUUAUGAGAGGGGGACCACAUAGUGUAAAGAUGCUGCAUUGAGGUUACAUGAUAGCUUACAUGAUAGCAUUAAUUUUGAUUUUUAUGCUUUUUACUUAAAUUUAAUUGCUCAAAUUUAAAUAACACAUUUUAUUAAUAAUUAAAAUUUCAUUAAAAUAAAAAACCUAAAAAUUACAUUAAAAAAAAUGAGGAAGAAGAAGAAUAAAUAGAAGAAGAAGAGAAAAAAAAAUUGAUGAACGGUCAAAAUUCACGCAAAUCGAGGCAGCAACGGUCAUCGAAUUUUUUUUUUAAUCGGCGCGUGCAUCACACGCGCCUUACACUAUCAUCAAAAUGGGCUACACGAUAGAACGUGUAGCCCUCGUGUAACUCUCGCCCGCAACGCUUACACGAUAGCAGACUUACACGAGUAAGCUGCUAUCGUGUAGGCGUUGCCAAUGCUCUUUAAGGUAUUGGCAUGCCCCAUUUGGCCAUUUCAAGCUUAUAAUUUUGCUACUGGGAAACACGAUUAGGGACUGCAUUUUUUCCACUUGUAUUCGAAUACAUUCAAUAUAAAAUUAAAUUAUCCACGUCACUAAAACCUUAUUGUUUUUGUGUGUUUUCUUUAAAAAAGGUAUAAUUCCAAAAAAAAGAAAAUAGUCAAGCAAAAAAGAAACACCUCACCCCAUCACCAUCGUGUGCCAGCCCCCCUUCCUUUCAUCUUCCCCACCCCUCAUUUUAUUUUUUUGGAAAAAGAGCAAUACUUGCUGAUAUUUUUGAAUCAAUUAUAGAUUUCGGAAUCAAAGUGAUUGGUCGGAUUAUCUUUUCUUGGCUUUUCGGAAUCAAAAAAGAAACACCUCACCCCAUGAUUUUGAAUCGAAAGAUUGCUGAUCCCGAUAGUAAUAUUGUGGCAACUAUGAGCAUGAGAUCUAAUCGAGUUAAGUCUAAGUUUGUUUUCAAUUAAAGAAAAAAAAAAAAAAAAAAACUAAAAAAACUAAAAAAAACAAAAAACAAAUCAAUAUUCUUAAAGAUAGGUGCCUAGCACUAUUUUGUUUUUAAUUGAAUAAAACUGUUGUAAUUUAUUUCAUAAUAUAUCAUUUAUUUACGUGAAAGUUAUUGAACUUCCUAUUAGCACUAUAAGAAAGCACGCGUAUAACGACCGAAAUUAACGAUCGAAAUUUUCGGUCGUUAAUUCAGCAGUCCUAACGACCGAUUUACGACCAUUUCACGACUGAAUUUUUUUAUUUUUUUAAAGAUCGAAAUUUUGAUAGUGAAUAAUUUUUUUAUUUUUUAUUUUAUUUUUUUAAAGAUCAAAUUUUCAGUCGUUAAUAUUAUUUUAUUUUUUAUUUUUUAUAUUUUUUAACGUACGAAAAUUCGAUCGUUAAAACUAUUUUUUUAUUAUUUUAUUUAUUUUAUGUUUUUUAUUUUUUAACGACCUAAAAUUUGGUCGUUAAUAUUAUUUUUUAUUUGUUUUAUUAUUUAUUUUAUUUUUAUUUUUUAUUUAUUUUUAUUUUUAAUGACCCAAAUUUGAUCGUUAAUAUUUUAUUUUUAUUUUUUAUUUAUAUAUAUAUAUAUAAUUUCCUAUUUUAUUCUUAUUUUAAAAUUAUUGAGAAUAUAUACUAUAAUAUUAAUUUUUUUAUUUUAAAUUCGAUCGUAUAUUUACCUUCACUCUUUCGCCGGCAACACAUUUUUUGAUAUUAUCUCGACAUAUUCUAAACUUAUGAAUGAAUGAUAUUGUAUAUUGAAAUAAAAUUUAAAUGAAUUAAUAGGUGUUAGUUAUAUCAAUAAUACUCGUGUUCUGAACUGAUGACUACUCAAAAUGAACUUCAAGGUUAAUCGUGUAUUUGACUUAGAGCACUACUAAUAUGGGUGACCCACUGAAAGCUUCGUCAAAUUGUAUGCAAUUAGAAAUACCAAAAUACUUAAAUAUAUAUAUAUAUAUAUAUAUAUAUAUAUAUAUAUUUACAAAAUUUACUCCUCAUUAUUAACAAAAAUGCAAGCGAUUUAAGUACAUAAAAAUCUGCAAGAAUAUUACUUCCCCCGUCCACUAAUUNAUGGAAGCUGUAUUUCAGCAUCAUUACUCCAGUCUUCAGUGUCACAUGUUCUUCAGAAAUCAUUCUAAUAUGCUGAUAUAUUAUCAAUAUUUGGAAACAGUUUUGCUGCUUAAUAUAUAUAUAUAUAUAUAUAUAUAUAUAUAUAUAUUUUUCAAAAAAAAAAAUUAUUACUCCCUCCGUCCCACUACAAAUAUCCCAUUCUUUUUUUGACAAUAUAUAUUCUUUCUCUAUACCUAAUAUUUAAAUAAUUUUUACCAACCCACUUUAUCUACUUUCUACACAUUUCUUAUUCUUCGUUUCCAAAAGUAAUGAGACGUUUAUAAUGAGACGAAAGGAGUAUUUUUUUAUUUAUUUUUAACGAGCGAAAAAUCGGUCGUUAAAAAUAAAUAAAAAUUAAUAAUUUUUGUUUUUUGGAAAAAAAAAUAACUUCCUCCAUCCACGAAAAAGAGUUUCAUUUGAGUUUCGACACUUGAUGAGAAGUAAUAUAUGCAGAGUAGAGGAAUCGCUCAGGUCAGAGGAAUGAGCUUAGCCAGAGGAACGAGCAUAGUCAGAGGAAUCGUCGCAGUCAGAGGAACACUCUACCAUAUAAGAUAGUCCACGGUAGGAAUGACCGCUUCACCCGGAAAGCACUAGAGCAGAGGAAUCCACCAGAGCAGAGGAAUCGUCUGUUUUCAGAGGAAUCGCCCGUUUAUAGGCGAUAUUACUACUAUACCCCUGACCAUGCGGGGAGCAUGUUCUUUAGGCCGAAAUUACUAUUUUACCCCUAGCAUGUACUCUAUAAAUACUCAUGCACCUGUAUCUUGUAAAACACGUUCUCUCUUAUACACAAGAUUUUUUUUUAUGCAAUUCAUUUCACUACUAGAAUUCAUGCAUAGAUGACAUAAAUAGACGACAUGUUGAAAAAUUGUUGUCUAUAACUCAAUAGACGACAAUAGGUUGCCGUGUCUAUGAGCGAGAAAUCAGACAACAGCAUAAAACACGUCGUCUAAUAGGGGAAUAGACGACAUUCUGGCCGUCGUCUAUAGUGCGGUCAUAGACAACGCGCGCGAAAAUUGUCGUAUAUCUAUAAUAGACGACACCUCCUUUGUAGCUACUAUUAUUAAGUUUUGAAUCAGGUUUUUUUUUCCUAAGUUUACCUCCACACCACUUUGACCUAGCCUCCUCCUUGCACCCGCUCCGCCCUAGCGCCGCUGCACCCCCUGAACCUCAACCUCCGCCUCCAGUCGAAGAAGGCAUUGGGAGCUCUAACUCCAGUCGCCGGCAGCCCUCGCCUCGCCGCGCCUACCCCACUGCGUCUCUCCUCCAGUCGAAGAAGACAUUGGGAGCCCUAACUCCAGUCGCCUGCUCUUGUUCCGCCGUGCCUCCGCCCGAUCUCGCCGCUCCUCCUGCACUCACCUGAAGCCCUCGCCACCUCCUCCGUUCGGCAGCAGCAGCCAAUAGGUUUCUUCUUCUUUAGUUUUUGUUAAUUUGUGUUUUAUAAUUUUCUGAAUUUAAUCCUUCUCCCUGCUGUCAAAAUCAGUCUUGAUUUUAGUUUAAUUCCAAAUUGUGCGUCAAUUGAAUGGAUUCAGCAUCUUGUUCACUCAAAUUUGAAGGUAUUUUGCAAUUGUUUGUGCCUUUGGAAUGCUAUCGAGCUUUUUGCAAAGUAUAGUAUUGAAAUUGAGCAGUAUAAUAGUCUAGACUUGUAGUAUUUGUAUUUCAUUGAUUUUGCUAGGAUGGCCUUUGGA
rnacentral:lncRNA from 1 species